rnacentral:rRNA from 1 species
AUUGAACGCUGGCGGCAGGCCUAACACAUGCAAGUCGAGCGGCAGCGGGAGGAAGCUUGCUUCCUCGCCGGCGAGCGGCGGACGGGUGAGUAAUGUCUGGGAAACUGCCCGAUGGAGGGGGAUAACUACUGGAAACGGUAGCUAAUACCGCAUAACGUCGCAAGACCAAAGAGGGGGACCUUCGGGCCUCUCACUAUCGGAUGAACCCAGAUGGGAUUAGCUAGUAGGCGGGGUAAUGGCCCACCUAGGCGACGAUCCCUAGCUGGUCUGAGAGGAUGACCAGCCACACUGGAACUGAGACACGGUCCAGACUCCUACGGGAGGCAGCAGUGGGGAAUAUUGCACAAUGGGCGCAAGCCUGAUGCAGCCAUGCCGCGUGUAUGAAGAAGGCCUUCGGGUUGUAAAGUACUUUCAGCGGGGAGGAAGGCGGUGAGGUUAAUAACCUCGCCGAUUGACGUUACCCGCAGAAGAAGCACCGGCUAACUCCGUGCCAGCCGCCGCUGUAAAAC